rnacentral:tRNA from 1 species
GGAACCGUGGUGUAGGGGUAAGCGUGAUUGCCUCUCACCCAGUUUGCUUGGGUUCGAUCCCUGAUGGUCCCG